rnacentral:rRNA from 1 species
UACAGAGGUCCCAAGCGUUGUUCGGAUUCACUGGGCGUAAAGGGUGCGUAGGCGGCCGGGUAAGUCUAAUGUGAAAUCCCGCAGCUCAACUGCGGAACUGCAUCGGAUACUCUCCGGCUAGAGUUCGGUAGGGGAGACUGGAAUUCCUGGUGUAGCGGUGAAAUGCGCAGAUAUCAGGAGGAACACCGAUGGCGAAGGCAGGUCUCUGGGCCGAUACUGACGCUGAGGAGCGAAAGCGUGGGGAGCGAACAGG